AAUCAAAUCAAAUUAUAUCAUAUAAUCAAUUUAUUAAAUAUGCUUUGAACACCAGUUUGAAAAUAGACAUUUUCUUAAUUUUUACACAAAUAUCUAACAGAAAAUUAGAUUUUCUGUGAGCCAUGUUAUAUGGGCAAUAACAUAAAUCCGUGAUCUGGAUAUGCUUCUUCAAACCAUCUCCCAGGAACGGACGUUUCGUAAUCUUCCACAAUAAGAAACAAACUAAAUACUACACAAUUAAGCUUUCCCUUAAUUAAAACUAUGUAAAUAAAUAAAAAUAAGAAAUAAAACUAAACUAUUAUAUAAUAAGUUUUUGCAGCACAGGUACUAGCAGAGUCGUUACUGGUCUUUAGAAUUCCAGUCAUGGAGGUUUUCAACAAAUCCAAGGCCGUGAAGCUCCGAAGCCACCUAGACAAGUACUUGUGCGCCGACGAUGACCAAAAGACGGUACGCCAGAGGCGCAACGGCUCGUCGCGCAGAGCCGCAUGGUUCGUCGAGUUCGUUGAAGGGAAAAGCCACGCGAUACGCUUGAGGAGCUGCCACGGAAAGUACCUCACCGCCGCGGACGGGGGAUUUCUUCUGGGCAUGACCGGGCAGAGGGUGAUUCAGACCGUGCCGGCAAAAGGCCACUACUGGAAGUGCGAGUGGGUGCCGAUAAGGGACGGGUUCCAGGUGAAGCUGAGGAGCUGGUCCGGCAAAUACCUUCGCGCCAACGGAGGGACUCCGCCGUGGAGGAACUCAGUCACGCACGACGACCCGCACACCACGUCCACGCAGAACUGGACCCUCUGGGAUGUGCAGGCGGUGGAGGUAGACUCGAUUAUGGAGUUCAUGUCGUAUCUGUCGAGCUCAUCUUCUCUGACUGAUGAAGUUUUGGAGUCGAAAUCGGAGUCCCCCAUGUCGGUUAUCUCCACUACCUCAGUUUUGGGCUCGGAACCGGAGUCCCCCAUGUCUACCUCCCCAUUAACGCCGUUUUAUUCAAAACAGAGUGAGUAUUCCAACAUAUUCCGGUCUGGAAUGGAGCUCUUCCACAACGCCCAGGCGGUGCGCCUUCGUAGCCACCACGACAAGUACCUCCUGGCCGAGGAGGACGAGGACUCCGUGAUCCAAGAUCGAUAUGGAGCGUCCAAGGCCGCCCGCUGGACUGUCGAGUUCGUGCCGGAUUCACAGCACAUCAUCCGCCUUAAGAGCUGCUACAACAGGUACCUCACCGCCUCCAACCAGCCCUUCUUGCUUGGAAUGACUGGUCGCAAGGUGGUCCAGUCUCUGCCCCGGAGGCCCGACUCCUCCGUCGAGUGGGAGCCCAUCAGAGAAGGGAACCAGGUCAGGCUCAAGACCCGGUACGGAAACUUCUUGAGGGCCAAUGGGGGCGUGCCACCUUGGCGGAACUCCGUGACCCAUGAUAUUCCUCACAGGACGUCCACCCAAGAUUGGAUACUUUGGGAUGUUGAUAUCGUCGAGAUUCAGGUUCAGUCUCCGUCUUUUAAAUCUCAGCCUCCGCUGCCACUUCCACAUUCCGACUCUCUGUAUUUCGAUCCGAGCUCACCGUCUUCGGGUUCCAUCAAAUCCGGGAAAUUUUCGAGACAAGAGUCUACAGAUUCUAAUGUGAGUUCGCCACCCAAGUCGGAAGGGAGGACUAUAUAUUACCAAGUGGCUGAUGAGAAUGGUGAUGUGGACGACGAAACAGUGGAAGGAUAUUCUUUUACUUUUAAGGGGAAUGGCGUUGAUGAAUUGACUCAUAAAUUCGAGGAAGAGACGGGAUUAGAGGGUAUCAUCCUGUGUCAUCGCAAUCCCUUGAAUGGAAAACUUUAUCCUCUUCGCUUGCAGCUUCCUCCAAACAACACGACUAUGAAUGUCAUAGUCGUUCUGUCUUCAUCAAAAGGAACGGUGCUUUGGGAAGCUAAUUUUAGGGUGGUCAGAAUCCUAAUUGUAGAAUAAACCUUAGUAAAAACAAACAUUCGUUUUGAGGGAACAUUGGUUAGCCCUUUUUGAGCCGUCCAUUUCAGUAGUUGAAACAGUUGGAUGCCAUAAUUAAAGACAUGUUUGGGCAACAUUGUUUUAGUGCGUGUUGAAUACUCUUGAAGGAUGCUGGGAAACUAGGGAUGCUGGUUGCACAAGAAACAUGUGAAGAUGUUGUAACCAGGUGUUAGUUACUUAGCUCGAGUAUUUUUUUCACUGUGCAUGGGAUGGCUUUCAUGUGGAACCUGUCGUCGCCCAUGUGAUGAAUUGACAUACCUUGAUCCCGUGAUAGCGGCAGAGGACUUUGCAAAACAAGGUAUAUAAUAAGGAGGAUCAUGUGGAACAUCACAAUUUUGCUAAAAAUAUCAACAAACAACUGUUGUGUACUUUGUAAGGGAGGCAUAUAUGUUCGUGUUCGAAUGCCCACCUCGAAAAGAAUCCUAUCAGGUAGCCUAUCUUACCUGUUGUGUUUAUACAGAAUCUACUAUGCAAACGAAUGGAGAGAACUAAAAGCAAAUGUUGAUAUCUUCUCCAUCAAAUUUGGUUAUUCUUGGAAGCAAUGCUGAUGAUACUUGUCUUAUAUGUAGAACUUCUGCACACUUUCUGCGUUUUGUAUUCUGUUUCCAUUUUGUUUUCAAUUAUGUCGUCGUGAUAGAAGUUCUAAAUAGAAGAUAUAUGAGUUGGAGAAUUUUUAUUUCCAA